UACGGAGGAGGCAAGCGUUAUCCGGAAUUAUUGGGCGUAAAGCGUCCGUAGGUGGCUAGUCAAGUCUGCGGUCAAAGACUGGGGCUUAACCCUGGAAAGGCCGUGGAAACUGACGAGCUAGAGUGCAGUAGGGGUAGAGGGAAUUCCCGGUGUAGCGGUGAAAUGCGUAGAGCUCGGGAAGAACAUCGGUGGCGAAGGCGGCCAGCUGGGCCGGACCUGACGCUGAGACGCGAAGGCGUGGGGAGCGAACGGG
rnacentral:rRNA from 1 species